ensembl:misc_RNA Y_RNA Y RNA
GGCUUCUCCGGUGCAGUGGUGCUUACAGCUAGCUAAUUGAUCACAACCAGUUAUAGAUGUCUUUGUUUCUUCUCGACUCCCACUGCUUCACCUCACUAGCCUUAA